rnacentral:rRNA from 1 species
GAUGAACGCUAGCGGGAGGCCUAACACAUGCAAGCCGAGCGGUAUUUGUUCUUCGGAACAGCGCGAGCGGCGCACGGGUGCGGAACACGUGUGCAACCUGCCUUUAUCUGGGGGAUAGCCUUUCGAAAGGAAGAUUAAUACCCCAUACUAUAUUGAGUGGCAUCAUUUGAUAUUGAAAACUCCGGUGGAUAGAGAUGGGCACGCGUAAGAUUAGAUAGUUGGUGAGGUAACGGCUCACCAAGACAAUGAUCUUUAGGGGGCCUGAGAGGGUGAUCCCCCACACUGGUACUGAGACACGGACCAGACUCCUACGGGAGGCAGCAGUGAGGAAUAUUGGACAAGGGGUUAGCGCCUGAUCCAGCCAUCCCGCGUGAAGGACGACGGCCCUAUGGAUUGUAAACUUCUUGUGUAUAGGGAUAAACCUACUCUCGUGAGAGGAGCUGAAGGUACUAAACGAAUAAGCACCGGCUAACUCCGUG